rnacentral:rRNA from 1 species
UACGGAGGGUGCAAGCGUUAUCCGGAUUCACUGGGUUUAAAGGGUGCGUAGGCGGGCAGGUAAGUCAGUGGUGAAAUCUCCGAGCUUAACUCGGAAACUGCCAUUGAUACUAUUUGUCUUGAAUACCGUGGAGGUGAGCGGAAUAUGUCAUGUAGCGGUGAAAUGCUUAGAUAUGACAUAGAACACCAAUUGCGAAGGCAGCUCACUACACGAAUAUUGACUCUGAGGCACGAAAGCGUGGGGAUCAAACAGG